rnacentral:lncRNA from 1 species
AGCUCUCCGUCGGUGGCACCGUGGGGAAGAAGGCCCUCGUGGCUAUCGCCCCCUUUUGAAUCCCCUCUUCUUCUUCUUCUUCCCGCUUUCGCCCUCCGUCACUUCCUUUUUGGUUCACUGCUCCCCUUUUUGUAAUUCCUCUCGUUCUUUUGCAUCUUUCUCAAUCGUUGUGUGUGUCUUUGGGAAAAAGUGCCUAAGUAAAAGUAAAAUAUUUUUUAAUAAUACGUAUAUAUGUGUGUAUGUAUGUAUGUAUGUGUAUAAACAUGCGUAUGUGUGUAUGUGUGUAUAAACAUAUGUAUGUGUGUAUAUGUAUAUGUAUAAACACAUAAUUUAGUUUUGAUACUCAUACAUUAGAUAAUUGUAAAAAUAUAAAUACUUUGCAUUGGAUCAAUUCAGUUAUUUAAACUAAAAUUCAGUAUAUCACCUUAGUUAUUUGCUAUUGAUUCAGAUUUAUACUUUUCUAAUGCACACUUGAAAGAAUAUAAUUGUAUUUUAAUGAAAUAUGAGUUAAAGUGAAAAAUAUAUGUGACUCUUGAAACAAUUAUAUUAAUUUGAUGUAAAGUAGGUAAUUAUAUUAUUUAUGGGCAUGUUCAAAAAAAUUUAAAAAUGCAAAAUCAAACAUAAAAAUUAUUAUCCAACU